UCAGGAGUCGAUCCUUCCAUAGGAAGAAAACACUGUGGGCAGAGAGGAAGGUCAGUCAGCACCAAGGCAAUGCUCAGCAGUGCCCUUCCUGCCAAAGGAGGUCUGGGUUGUUUAGGAUUAGGAGCUCUCUGGGUCCCUUUAUCCUGUGUCUCUUUGUUAUUAUACAGCAUGGUAAGAGAAAUCACAGGUAUCUGAGAGAUUUUUCCACACAGGCCUGAUUUUUUUGGAUACCAGGAUUCCUGGCAAAGUUGGCAGCAACUUUAACUAGUGUCAGCUUUCCCUGGGGAGGAACCACACGUAUUCCACUCGAGCUUCUGAGCUUGGUCAGCCCAGUAAACCCUGAGGCUGCACAAGUGCCUGAGGUCCUCAGGGAUGUGCCUUUUCCUGGGAGCAUCCCUAUUUUCCUGGCUCUCCACUGUGAUACAACAGGCCACAACCUUCCCAGAGACUUCCAGAGCCUCUCCCUGUGACUGAGGAGAUCCAGUUCAAGAUCAAGCUGAAAUGGUUCCUGUCCUGAAAAAUGGAUCCUGAAGAGGCAGGAUGUGCCUGCUGCUCUCUUUAGAUCCAACAGGAGGAUGUUUUGGGCCCGAGGAUCCAGCAGGGAAGAGGAGCCCUCCAGCCUUGCUGUUCCCAACCAGUGCCCUCACCACAGACAUCCUGCCUUUCUACGGGUUUUCACACCCAACACGAGGGGAAAGGAAAAAUGAAUGGAAACCAGGAGAGACUGACCAGGAGCUUUGGCUUUUGCUCAGCGGGGAGGACAGUGAAGUUGGUGAUGGAGCGCAGCAUCACGAGCAGGAUGGAGAGCACGAAGACGAUGAGCUCCUGGCGGUUCUCCUGCAGGAUCCCCCGGCUCACAUAGUACACACAGAACACUGGGGGGACAAGGCAAGGGCAGUGCCAGAGUGCUGCUUCCUGGAUUCCACACGUAAAAUCCCCCCCACUUUUGCAAGGCUGGGACAUGGGGACAAAGUGCUGUCCAGGUCUUCAAAGGAACACGGUAACUUGAGUGUCUAAACAAACCUUCAGUGACUGAGCUUCCUUUUCCACUGCUCUUAACAGGGACUGAGAGAGCAGAAAAUGAUUGGCAAAUUACAGAGUGAAUCACGGGAUUUUUUGGACAUGCUCUUGACCUCAGGAAGACCUCAAAGACUUAAGGCAGCAUUUCCUUGUUUUGCAAAUUCAGCUGCUCAAUCAGAAGAAAUUUUGCACAAAUAAUUUGAAAAUAAGCUCUGAUUAUCAAGAUUUUUGCAGAGGUGGCAUAUGCACAUUUCUGAAAUACAGGACACCCCCUUGGUUUUGGGGAUGAAUUCUCAACAGAUUAAAUCCCCAGCCCCCCUUAAAUUAAAUAUCUAAUUGUAAACCCAAGAGAUUGUUACAGCCAGGGCAUCUAUUUUUCUUUAAAGAAACACCUGUCCUGUCAGUCUUUGUCUACCACACAGAAAACAUGGUUUGGGGGAAAAAGAGAUGGGCAAGUGUGGCUUCAACUUCCCAGGUCUGUGACUGAUUCAAUAUGCAGGUUCUUCAGGCUGUUCUAACAUUGCAGCUUUGUGAGCCCUGUGUGAAGAGCUGCUCAUUAAAUCAGAGGUUUGGAAUUAAAGCAUUGUUGGGAUUUGUCUAAUUAUAGAAUCUGGAACAAAGCUAUUGUCUUUGUUCCCUCUGGGUGAGAGCUGGAAGGCAAGGACUGUGUUACACCCACAAUCUCUCCUUUUUCACACUGUUUUGGCAGCUAAGACCUGCUAAAGCCACUUCCUGAAAUAGUUUAUUAUUUUCAUGGUAAUUUCUAUUUGAGACAAAUGGACCCAAGAAUACAAAAAUAAGUUUCUGUUGAAGCUCUCAUUGGAAAUAUCCAAGGAAGUU